ensembl:scaRNA
CACAGAACGUGAAGGAAGCAACCAUGUGGACAAAGGCAAAAUGCCUUUUGUCUAUGAAUUGCAGUGAUCCUACAUAAACAUGGAGGUCUCUGUUUGGCUUAGGACAGCUGGCUAAGUCUGAUGAUUCCCCUCCAUACAGA